rnacentral:rRNA from 1 species
AGUGAACGUUGGCGGCGUGGAUUAGGCAUGCAAGUCGAGCGGGAGUAGCAAUACUCCAGCGGCGAAAGGGAGAGUAAUGCGUAGAUUACCUACCUCCAGGCCCGGGAUAGCCGUGGGAAACUGCGGGUAAUACCGGAUAAUGUCUCCGGACCAAAGGUGUGAUUCCGCCUGGAGACGGGUCUGCGUCCUAUCAGCUAGUUGGUGAGGUAACGGCUUACCAAGGCGACGACGGGUACGAGGCGUGAGAGCGUGUCCUCGCUCACUGGGACUGAGACACCGCCCAGACACCUACGGGUGGCUGCAGUCGAGAAUCUUCGUCAAUGGGCGCAAGCCUGAACGAGCGAUGCCGCGUGCGGGAUGAAGGCCUUCGGGUUGUAAACCGCUGUCAGAGGGGAUGAAAUGCCGGUGGGUUCUCCCAUCGGUUUGACAGAUCCUCAGAGGAAGUACGGGCUAAGUUCGUGCCAGCCGCCGCCGUAA